rnacentral:misc_RNA from 1 species
AGAAGCGUAAGCUUUCUAUUUGUGCUUUUCUUUUGACCAUCUUUAUCAAUCCUAUCUGGAUUCUUUAAUCGGGCGAUGCCCCCUACCCAAUUUAAGCGGAACAGAAUGCUCAUGGCAAAUCUGUGUAUUAUGUUUAGGUAGAUGGUGGUCGGUUUGUCUUUCGGUAAUAUUUUAUCAUCUUGGUUGUUUUUUCACUGUGUUAUACAUGGCUGUGCAUGUAAAGUCCAUUUGUAGAAGGUAAGUGGGAUAGUUCAUUUGAUUUCUAGGAGGAAAUACUCUUCAUAAGAUAAUAUUUCUAAGUAGAUAAAAAUCAAUGUCUUGUAGUAUAGGAGGUUAAGAGCUGAACUCAACUUUAGUACCCCUUACCUAAAAACAUUAUUCUCUUGACUUCGGAUGAUAAAAUGCUCAAGAUGGAAUGGAAAUUAAAUAGUGGAAUUCCUACGAGUCAUUUACUUUUGACGCAGUAGACAAAAUUCUUCUGUGGGCACCUACCUUUGAAUCAUCUUCAAUUAUUCAGGUUGUCCAAAUGUGCGCUGAAUAGUGAGUCAUGUGCAUCCCUCUCUUCAUCUUCGAUCAAAAUCUUAUCAAUUUCUACAUUUCUUUGAUGAUUUUGAACCAGUAAAAAUUGCAUAUAUAUUUUUUAAAGUUGAGAUGAUUUAUUUUAUUUUAUUUUAUU